ensembl:lncRNA
AUGCCGGACCGUUGUCGAGGUGGCGGCAUGCAAACUUUCUCUUGAAGGAAAUUAUUGUUGCGAGAGCCAGAUAUAUCCCAACGUUUGAAUAAUUAUCGGAGGCGCAGAGAGCAAAUUUUUUUGUUGUUGCUUUGGUUGAUUAGUGGACCUUGUUUGUGACGGAAACGAAGGAGAACCGGAACCUGGACUGAUGAGAGCAGUGUAUUCUGCCUUGUACCGGAGUGUAUGUGUAUAUGUGAUGUUUGAGCCUCUGGCCGGGUCUUUUUGCUUGUAUGGAUUCCUGGUGAGAUCUGCAUGAAGAUUCUUCUCCCGCUGGGAUUUCUCCCAUCUCUGUAGAGGUAGUGGGGAACCUCAGUGGUAGUGGCGAGCUACCCAAACGAAGGACUGUUAUUUUGUUACCAAU